rnacentral:rRNA from 1 species
CGUCUAUAUACGUAUAGCAUAUCAAUAAGCGGAGGAAAAGAAACUAACUAGGAUUCCCCUAGUAACGGCGAGUGAAGCGGGAAGAGCUCAAAUUUGAAAUCUUAAAGGUUUCCCUUGACGAAUUGUAGUUUAAAGAAGUGUUUUCUGUUGGAGUUUCGGUAAAAGUUCUUUGGAAUAGGACAUCAUAGAGGGUGAGAAUCCCGUAUUUGACCAUUAUCUUCCAGCUUUGUGAUACACUUUCAAAGAGUCGGAUUGUUUGGGAAUGCAGUCCAAAAUGGGUGGUAAAUUUCAUCUAAAGCUAAAUACUGGCGAGAGACCGAUAGCGAACAAGUACCGUGAGGGAAAGAUGAAAAGAACUUUGAAAAGAGAGUUAAACAGUACGUGAAAUUGUCAAAAGGGAAGCGUUUGACACCAGUGUUGUUUUCUCGAAAAUCAAUUAAAAAUGCUGGAUUUUGUGUUGUAUUGACUUUAUCAGCUUUCUGCACUUUUUUCCUGUCUUUUUUAAUGCACUUUUCGUUUAACAAGUCAACAUCAAUUUCUUUUGUUGUAAAAGAGUCAUUGGAAGGUGGCUUUCUUUUCGGAGAAAGUGUUUAUAGCCUUUGACUUCUGCAAUCGGAGAGAUUGAGGUCUGCAGCGUAGAUCCUUCGGGGUUAGAUGCAUUUGUGCUAAGUUAUAGCCUUUCAUAGACAACUUGUUGACUAUGAUCAGUCAUGUAGCUUACUCGCUUAUGUCUAUUUUACCUACGCUUAGGAUGUUGACGAUCAGCUGAGCGCG